UACGGGGGGAGCAAGCGUUGUUCGGAUUUACUGGGCGUAAAGGGCGCGUAGGCGGCCUGUUAAGUCGAACGUGAAAUCCCCGGGCUCAACCCGGGAACUGCGUCCGAUACUGGCAGGCUUGAAUCCGGGAGAGGGAUGCGGAAUUCCAGGUGUAGCGGUGAAAUGCGUAGAUAUCUGGAGGAACACCGGUGGCGAAGGCGGCAUCCUGGACCGGUAUUGACGCUGAGGCGCGAAAGCUAGGGGAGCAAACGGG
rnacentral:rRNA from 1 species